UACGUAGGCAGCGAGCGUUGUUCGGAGUUACUGGGCGUAAAGGGUGUGUAGGCGGUUGUUUAAGUUUGGUGUGAAAUCUCCCGGCUCAACUGGGAGGGUGCGCCGAAUACUGAAUGACUUGGAGUGCGGGAGAGGAGAGUGGAAUUCCUGGUGUAGCGGUGAAAUGCGCAGAUAUCAGGAGGAACACCGGUGGCGAAGGCGACUCACUGGACACGUAUUGACGCUGAGGUGCGAAAGCGUGGGGAGCAAACAGG
rnacentral:rRNA from 1 species